GACGAACGCUGGCGGCGUGCUUAACACAUGCAAGUCGAACGGAAAGGCCCUGCUUUUGUGGGGUGCUCGAGUGGCGAACGGGUGAGUAACACGUGAGUAACCUGCCCUUGACUUUGGGAUAACUUCAGGAAACUGGGGCUAAUACCGGAUAGGAGCUCCUGCUGCAUGGUGGGGGUUGGAAAGCUUCGGCGGUUGGGGAUGGACUCGCGGCUUAUCAGCUUGUUGGUGGGGUAGUGGCUUACCAAGGCUUUGACGGGUAGCCGGCCUGAGAGGGUGACCGGCCACAUUGGGACUGAGAUACGGCCCAGACUCCUACGGGAGGCAGCAGUGGGGAAUAUUGCACAAUGGGCGGAAGCCUGAUGCAGCAACGCCGCGUGCGGGAUGACGGCCUUCGGGUUGUAAACCGCUUUCGCCUGUGACGAAGCGUGAGUGACGGUAAUGGGUAAAGAAGCACCGGCUAACUACGUGCCAGCAGCCGCGGUGAUACGUAGGGUGCGAGUGUUGUCCGGAUUUAUUGGGCGUAAAGGGCUCGUAGGUGGUUGAUCGCGUCGGAAGUGUAAUCUUGGGGCUUAACCCUGAGCGUGCUUUCGAUACGGGUUGACUUGAGGAAGGUAGGGGAGAAUGGAGUUCCUGGUGGAGCGGUGGAAUGCGCAGAUAUCAGGAGGAACACCAGUGGCGAAGGCGGUUCUCUGGGCCUUUCCUGACGCUGAGGAGCGAAAGCGUGGGGAGCGAACAGGCUUAGAUACCCUGGUAGUCCACGCUGUAAACGGUGGGUACUAGGUGUGGGGUCCAUUCCACGGGUUCCGUGCCGUAGCUAACGCUUUAAGUACCCCGCCUGGGGAGUACGGCCGCAAGGCUAAAACUCAAAGGAAUUGACGGGGCCCCGCACAAGCGGCGGAGCAUGCGGAUUAAUUCGAUGCAACGCGUAGAACCUUACCUGGGUUUGACAUGGAUCGGGAGUGCUCAGAGGUGGGUGUGCCUCUUUUGGGGUCGGUUCACAGGUGGUGCGUGGCUGUCGUCAGCUCGUGUCGUGAGAUGUUGGGUUAAGUCCCGCAACGAGCGCAACCCUUGUUCACUGUUGCCAGCACGUUAUGGUGGGGACUCAGUGGAGACCGCCGGGGUCAACUCGGAGGAAGGUGGGGAUGACGUCAAGUCAUCAUGCCCCUUAUGUCCAGGGCUUCACGCAUGCUACAAUGGCUGGUACAGAGAGUGGCGAGCCUGUGAGGGUGAGCGAAUCUCGGAAAGCCGGUCUCAGUUCGGAUUGGGGUCUGCAACUCGACCUCAUGAAGUCGGAGUCGCUAGUAAUCGCAGAUCAGCAACGCUGCGGUGAAUACGUUCCCGGGGC
rnacentral:rRNA from 1 species